rnacentral:rRNA from 1 species
GACAAACGCUGGCGGCAUGCCUAACACAUGCAAGUCGAACGGACAGAACAGGGAAGCUUUUCGGAGUGGAACUGGAAAGUUAGUGGCGGAUGGGUGGGUAACGCGUGGACAACCUACCUUGUAAAGGGGAAUAACCUCGAGAAAUCGAAGCUAAUACCCCAUAAUAACCUUGCUUCGCAUGAAGUAAGGAGGAAAGGCGGCCUUAGCGCUGUCGAUACAAGAUGGGUCCGCGUCUGAUUAGCUAGUUGGUGAGGUAAAGGCUCACCAAGGCGACGAUCAGUAGCCGGCCUGAGAGGGUGAACGGCCACAUUGGGACUGAGACACGGCCCAAACUCCUACGGGAGGCAGCAGUGGGGAAUCUUCCGCAAUGGGCGAAAGCCUGACGGAGCAAUGCCGCGUGAGUGAAGAAGGCCUUCGGGUUGUAAAACUCUGUCCUUAUCGAAGAGAGAGUGUUGUAGUAACGGACAAUACUAGGACGGUAGAUGAGGAGGAAGCCCCGGCUAACUAUGU